rnacentral:rRNA from 1 species
CUGGCUCUGUCAGGGUCCGAGUUGUAAUUUGUAGAAGAUGCUUCGGGUGUGGCUCCGGUCUAAGUUCCUUGGAACAGGACGUCAUAGAGGGUGAGAAUCCCGUACGUGACUGGCUGCCUUCGCCUAUGUGAAGCUCUUUCGAC